rnacentral:rRNA from 1 species
CCGAUGGAGGGGGAUAACUACUGGAAACGGUAGCUAAUACCGCAUAACGCGCAAGACCAAAGAGGGGGACCUUCGGGCCUCUUGCCAUCGGAUGUGCCCAGAUGGGAUUAGCUAGUAGGUGGGGUAACGGCUCACCUAGGCGACGAUCCCUAGCUGGUCUGAGAGGAUGACCAGCCACACUGGAACUGAGACACGGUCCAG